GCAGACUCACUCUGUACAUGACUGCCUUCCUCAGUCUUGCUGCUUUUCCGGUCUGCUAGAGAAGUGACCCCCGGUGUUGCAAAACCUUGCUCUGGUGAAGGGCCGUUGCAACUGCCUGGGAGACAUCCCG